GUGCAUUUGGCCGAUGAUAUACCUCGGCAGUCUGCCAAGUUUCGGGGUGGACGGAGAGGAGAUCAGGGCCCGUCGUGAGGGUGUGAAGAUUAGUUGCGCGGGUGAAAGGAAAUGGGGAGAAAAAGAACUCAAAUGAAAAGUACCUCCGAUCAUCCCCUUUUCAAAACGCAAUUUCAUCGCAAUGUUAAGAAGUAUGUCGAAGUUUUUGCAGUCGCGGAAUAUGGAGGGUGCACUUUACGCAGUGUCUCACUUCAUCGGUUUGUUGGCGAUCAGCGCUGGACCUUCAGGGAUAACGGACGAUCACGAGAACUUGAAUUAGUUGUGCACGUAUUGCCACGGCGAGAGAAGACGUGGCACGGGAGCAACGUAGCCGGGGGAAGCGCGCGGUUGUGCACGUCUGCAUAGAUGGAAGCCUGUUCGAAAUUCGCCUGGCUUCUAUAGCGUUUCCCAAAAACAGUAUUCCCGUGUUCUCGUGCCGAUAGGCUGCUGGAAGAGCGGUAUGCAGCAUGGCUAAUGACGUGGCCAGCAGUGUCGGACGCCUCCUCACAGUUCGAGAGUUGAGCUUGCGUUCUACGAAGACCGCUCGAAUCCUUGUUUCAUUGGCAUUCACUGUGGUGUUUUAGAAGUAUCCUCUUUUUCAGUCUGUAAGCUUUUGACUUCUAGCUGUCUCGUAGGCGUGAUCAGUCGAUUCAGUGUUGUACUUUGUCGUUGCCUAAUUAGGGUGCUAUCGAGUUGCGUAUCGGGGCAAAGGAUCAUAGGUCGUGCCGGUGGCCAAAGAGUGGCUAACUCAAGUUUGUAAAUGUAUAAUCUGAGACAGACAGGCUCUCACACAGGUGGUGGAAGUACUACGUUCAGCAUGGGAGUCCGCGUAUGGAGCGAGCAGGUAGAUUCACCGUGGGUUGGCUUAUAAUAACUGAGAUAACUCGACAGGAAGACGUACAGAAGCGUGAUGCGCAUGAAACGUUGGCGACUAGAAAAGCGAGAACGACGGCUGUGGAGGCAGAGUGUAAAUGUUUCAAUGUGUGGCUUAGUCGUGACAUCUCUAUCUCCUGGUCCCCCGGUCAGCCUCACGAAUGACCAAUCAAUCUUCAUGGAUCAACUGACUGUAGCUGUGUGGUAGCGUCCCCAUGGUGACGAUGGUUGCUUUACGGUAUUCCACCAAAAUAUGCAUUCGCUAAUAUGAACAAGGACGACAGGUCAUCUCGCGUUGUGUCAACGACGGUGACCAUUGGCUUUGGGGUUGGGUCGUCAGUCAACCAUGUCCACGCUAUAACAUCCGAUGUCUCCUGACAAAGGUCCUGCUGUGCGUAGCUUCGCAAAAGUUCACGUUCGUUCUCAUAUAAAGGCCCGAUGAGUGUGCAUGCGCAUCAGCAAAGGAAAACGGACCUGGACAUUGCGAAACAAACAGUUAUUUUGGUUUCCCAGAUCUUGCAAGCGGGAUUGGUUGUUUUUGGGAACUUGCUUGAGAUUGACGACACCGGAAAAGAAUAAUGCAGAAGCAUGUACGCCAGUCUCGAUGACGUAUGCACUACUCCCAGUAUCCCGAUUCAGCGCGGAAUGCCCCAGAGAAACCGGCAUAAGGCGCACGCCCCAGUGAUAGAACUCGCUUACGGUGUGAAGCGAGGUAAUGUCAGCAGUGUGUCGCUAGUAGCUCACGCAAAGCGGCACCCAGCUGACGUUGGUUUCUGGAUCAAUCCUUGUGAAAACCCUCCUCGUACAGCCUCAACUGUGCACGGGGAACCGUGAAGAAGUCCAGGGAGAGGGGGGUGGCAGUCGCAAGUGUAUAUGCUUGCGCCGGUACGUCAGCGCAGGCCGUCAUGGUGCGACAUCUGGUUUGCGGACUGCCGUAGGUUCCAUGUCAGAACACCGUGGGAAUACGGUUGUGGACAGC
rnacentral:lncRNA from 1 species